UGGGGAAUAUUGGACAAUGGGCGCAAGCCUGAUCCAGCCAUGCCGCGUUAGUGAUGAAGGCCCUAGGGUUGUAAAGCUCUUUCACCGGUGAAGAUAAUGACGGUAACCGGAGAAGAAGCCCCGGCUAACUUCGUGCCAGCAGCCGCGGUAAUACGAAGGGGGCUAGCGUUGUUCGGAUUUACUGGGCGUAAAGCGCACGUAGGCGGACUUUUAAGUCAGGGGUGAAAUCCCGGGGCUCAACCCCGGAACUGCCUUUGAUACUGGAAGUCUUGAGUAUGGUAGAGGUGAGUGGAAUUCCGAGUGUAGAGGUGAAAUUCGUAGAUAUUCGGAGGAACACCAGUGGCGAAGGCGGCUCACUGGACCAUUACUGACGCUGAGGUGCGAAAGCGUGGGGAGCAAACAGG
rnacentral:rRNA from 1 species